rnacentral:rRNA from 1 species
AUUGAACGCUGGCGGCAUGCUUUACACAUGCAAGUCGAACGGCAGCGCGGGCUUCGGCCUGGCGGCGAGUGGCGAACGGGUGAGUAAUGCAUCGGAACGUGCCCAGUAGUGGGGGCUAGCCCGGCGAAAGCCGGAUUAAUACCGCAUACGACCUGAGGGUGAAAGCGGGGGACCGAAAGGCCUCGCGCUAUUGGAGCGGCCGAUGUCGGAUUAGCUAGUUGGUGGGGUAAAGGCUUACCAAGGCGACGAUCCGUAGCUGGUCUGAGAGGACGACCAGCCACACUGGGACUGAGACACGGCCCAGACUCCUACGGGAGGCAGCAGUGGGGAAUUUUGGACAAUGGGGGCAACCCUGAUCCAGCCAUGCCGCGUGCGGGAAGAAGGCCUUCGGGUUGGAAACCGCUUUUGUUCGGGAAGAAAUCCUCUGGGCUAAUACCCCGGGGGGAUGACGGUACCGGAAGAAGAAGCACCGGCUAACUACGUG